UAAUACGGAAUGUGCAAACGUUAUUCGGAAUCACUGGGCUUAAAGAGUCCGUAGGCGGCUUGUUAGGUGAGGUGUGAAAUCCCUCGGCCCAACCGAGGAAUUGCGCUUCAAACCGGCAAGCUAGAGGAGGAUAGAGGUGGGCGGAACUGAUGGUGGAGCGGUGAAAUGCGUUGAUAUCAUCAGGAACACCGGAGGCGAAGGCGGUCCACUGGGUCCUUUCUGAC
rnacentral:rRNA from 1 species